AGCAUAUCAAUAAGCGGAGGAAAAGAAACUAACAAGGAUUCCCCUAGUAGCGGCGAGCGAAGCGGGAAAAGCUCAAAUUUGUAAUCUGGCGCUUUCGGCGUCCGAGUUGUAAUCUCGAGAAGUGUUUUCCGCGUCAGACCGCACACAAGUCUCCUGGAACGGAGCGUCAUAGUGGUGAGAACCCAGUACACGGUGCGGAUGCCUGAUGCUUUGUGAUACACUUUCGAAGAGUCGAGUUGUUUGGGAAUGCAGCUCAAAUUGGGUGGUAAAUUCCAUCUAAAGCUAAAUAUUGGCGAGAGACCGAUAGCGAACAAGUACCGUGAGGGAAAGAUGAAAAGCACUUUGGAAAGAGAGUUAACAGUACGUGAAAUUGUUGGAAGGGAAACGCUUGAAGUCAGACUUGCUAUUCGGAGCUUGCUUCGAUUCGCAGGCCCGCAUCAGUUUUUCGGGGCGGAAAAUCGUAGAGAGAAGGUAGCAGUUUCGGCUGUGUUAUAGCUUUCUACUGGAUUCGUCCUGGGGGACUGAGGAACGCAGCGUGCUUUUUGCAUGGGCUUCGGCCUAUCCACGCUUAGGAUGCGGGUGGAAUGGCUUUAAACGACCCGUCUUGAAACACGGACCAAGGAGUCUAACAUGCUUGCGAGUAUUUGGGUGUCAAACCCGGAUGCGCAAUGAAAGUGAAUGGAGGUGGGAAGCGCAAGCUGCACCAUCGACCGAUCUGGAUUUUCUAAGAUGGAUUUGAGUAAGAGCAAGUAUGUUGGGACCCGAAAGAUGGUGAACUAUGCCUGAAUAGGGUGAAGCCAGAGGAAACUCUGGUGGAGGCUCGUAGCGGUUCUGACGUGCAAAUCGAUCGUCAAAUUUGGGUAUAGGGGGCGAAAGACUAAUCGAACCAUCUAGUAGCUGGUUCCUGCCGA
rnacentral:rRNA from 1 species